rnacentral:rRNA from 1 species
GACAGAGGUGGCAAGCGUUGUUCGGAUUUAUUGGGCGUAAAGAGCGCGUAGGCGGUCUUUUAAGUCGGUGGUGAAAUCCCGGGGCUUAACCCCGGCACUGCCUCCGAUACUGGAAGACUUGAGUGCGGGAGAGGAUAGUGGAAUUCCCAGUGUAGAGGUGAAAUUCGUAGAUAUUGGGAAGAACACCAGUGGCGAAGGCAGCUGUCUGGACCGCAACUGACGCUGAGGCGCGAAAGCGUGGGGAG